rnacentral:rRNA from 1 species
CACGUAGGUGGCAUCGUAAGUCAAAGGUGAAAGCCCUCGGCUCAACCGGGGAAUUGCCUUUGAAACUGCGUUGCUUGAGUCCGGGAGGGGAGAGCGGAAUUCCCAGUGGAGCGGUGAAAUGCGUAGAUACUGGGAGGAACACCGGUGGCGAAGGCGGCUCUCUGGACCGGUACUGACACUGAGGUGCGAAAGCGUGGGUAGCAAACA